GCAAAUUACCCACUCCCGGCACGGGGAGGUAGUGACGAAAAAUAACGAUACGGGACUCAUCCGAGGCCCCGUAAUCGGAAUGAGCACACUUUAAAUCCUUUAACGAGUAUCCAUUGGAGGGCAAGUCUGGUGCCAGCAGCCGCGGUAAUUCCAGCUCCAAUAGCGUAUAUUAAAGUUGUUGCGGUUAAAAAGCUCGUAGUCGGACUUGUGUCACACGCUGCCGGUUCACCGCCCGUCGGUGUUUAACUGGCAUGCACGUGCUGACGUCCUGCCGGUGGCCCGAGCCGGUCCGGGAUCUCUGGGUGCGGGAUUCCCUCCGGGGGCUCGCCUCGAGCCCGGUUCUUGGGGAGGGCCUACUCAUACCCCUCGCGGUGCUCUUAACCGAGUGUCUCGAUGGGCCGGCACGUUUACUUUGAACAAAUUAGAGUGCUUAAAGCAGGCAGCAUCCGCCUGAAUACUGAGUGCAUGGAAUAAUGGAAUAGGACCUCGGUUCUAUUUUGUUGGUUUUCGGAAUCCCCGAGGUAAUGAUCAAUAGGGACAGACGGGGGCAUUCGUAUUGCGACGUUAGAGGUGAAAUUCUUGGAUCGUCGCAAGACGGACCGAAGCGAAAGCAUUUGCCAAGAAUGUUUUCUCUGAUCAAGAACGAAAGUUAGAGGUUCGAAGGCGAUCAGAUACCGCCCUAGUUCUAACCAUAAACGAUGCCAGCCAGCAAUCCGCCGAAGUUCCUCCGAUGACUCGGCGGGCGGCUUCCGGGAAACCAAAGCUUUUGGGUUCCGGGGGAAGUAUGGUUGCAAAGCUGAAACUUAAAGGAAUUGACGGAAGGGCACCACCAGGAGUGGAGCCUGCGGCUUAAUUUGACUCAACACGGGAAACCUCACCAGGCCCGGACACCGGGAGGAUUGACAGAUUGAGAGCUCUUUCUUGAUUCGGUGGGUGGUGGUGCAUGGCCGUUCUUAGUUGGU
rnacentral:rRNA from 1 species